GUGGGAACGUACCCUUUACUACGGAACAACUCCGGGAAACUGGAGCUAAUACCGUAUGUGCCCUUCGGGGGAAAGAUUUAUCGGUAAAGGAUCGGCCCGCGUUGGAUUAGCUAGUUGGUGGGGUAAAGGCCUACCAAGGCGACGAUCCAUAGCUGGUCUGAGAGGAUGAUCAGCCACAUUGGGACUGAGACACGGCCCAAACUCCUACGGGAGGCAGCAGUGGGGAAUAUUGGACAAUGGGCGCAAGCCUGAUCCAGCCAUGCCGCGUGUGUGAUGAAGGCCUUAGGGUUGUAAAGCACUUUCACCGGAGAAGAUAAUGACGGUAUCCGGAGAAGAAGCCCCGGCUAACUUCGUGCCAGCAGCCGCGGUAAUACGAAGGGGGCUAGCGUUGUUC
rnacentral:rRNA from 2 species